GACGAACGCUGGCGGCGUGCCUAACACAUGCAAGUCGAGCGGAGAUGAUGUGAGGAAGUUUUCGGAUGGAAUCACAUUAUUUUAGCGGCGGACGGGUGAGUAACGCGUGAGCGACCAACCUUGCACAGGGGGAUAACGGACCGAAAGGUUCACUAAUACCGCAUGAGACCACGGUGUUGCAUGACACAGGGGUCAAAGGAGGAAUCCGGUGCAAGACGGGCUCGCGUCCGAUUAGGUAGUUGGAGGGGUAACGGCCCACCAAGCCUAUGAUCGGUAGCCGACCUGAGAGGGUGAUCGGCCACAUUGGAACUGAGAUACGGUCCAAACUCCUACGGGAGGCAGCAGUGGGGAAUAUUGGGCAAUGGGGGAAACCCUGACCCAGCAACGCCGCGUGAAGGAAGAAGGUUUUCGGAUUGUAAACUUCUGUCCUUGGUGAAGAGAAGAAGACGGUAGCCAAGGAGGAAGCCCCGGCUAACUACGUGCCAGCAGCCGCGGUAAGAGUACUCUAU
rnacentral:rRNA from 1 species